UGAAAUUCUGAUGAAAGAAAAGUUUUUUUUUUUUUUGCUCACAGUGAGUGAGAAUUUCAACGUUUGAUAACAAAAAAAAAGUAAAUAGAAUCAAAACAAAUGAAUUAUAUUUUC